GAUGAAGAACGCAGCGAAAUGCGAUAAGUAAUGUGAAUUGCAGAAUUCAGUGAAUCAUUGAAUCUUUGAACGCACAUUGCGCCCGCCAGUAUUCUGGCGGGCAUGCCUGUUCGAGCGUCAUUACAACCCUCAGGCCCCCGGGCCUGGCGUUGGGGAUCGGCGGAAGCCCCCUGCGGGCACAACGCCGUCCCCCAAAUACAGUGGCGGUCCCGCCGCAGCUUCCAUUGCGUAGUAGCUAACACCUCGCAACUGGAGAGCGGCGCGGCCACGCCGUAAAACACCCAACUUCUGAAUGUUGACCUCGAAUCAGGUAGGAAUACCCGCUGAACUUAAGCAUAUCAAUAAGCGGAGGA
rnacentral:misc_RNA from 1 species